rnacentral:rRNA from 1 species
GACGAACGCUGGCGGCGUGCUUAACACAUGCAAGUCGAGCGGUAAGGCCCUUUCGGGGGUACGACGAGCGGCGAACGGGUGAGUAACACGUGGGUGACCUGCCUUUAGCUCUGGGAUAAGCCUGGGAAACUGGGUCUAAUACCGGAUAUGACCCUAUGGCGCAUGUUGUGGGGUGGAAAGCCUUGUGCGGCUAGGGAUGGGCCCGCGGCCUAUCAGCUUGUUGGUGGGGUGAUGGCCACCAAGGCGACGACGGGUAGCCGGCCUGAGAGGGCGACCGGCC